rnacentral:tRNA from 1 species
GGCACCGCACCUCAUCAGGUCAGAUGAAUGGUCCAACAACCGCUCUCCUAAAGCGGGUGUCGCAGGUUCGAAUCCUGCCGGGGGCA